rnacentral:rRNA from 1 species
GGAUGAACGCUGGCGGCAUGCCUAACACAUGCAAGUUGAACGAACUUAUAUUUUUAUACAAUUUAAGUUAAGUAGCGGACGGGUGAGUAACAUGUAAGAACCUACCUUUACGAGGGGAAUAACUACUGGAAACGGUAGCUAAAACCCAUAUAAGCUGCGGAGUAAAAAGUGAAAACUACCUACAAGAUGGGCUUGCAUCUGAUUAGCUUGUUCGGUAAAGUAAUUGUUUACCAAGGCAAUGAUCAGUAGUUGGUCUAAGAGGAUGAUCAACCACACUGGGACUGAGACACGGCCCAGAACCUCUACGGAGGGCAGCAGUGAGGAAUUUUCCGCAAUGGGCGCAAGCCUGACGGACGCAAUGCCGCGUGGAAGAUGAAGGCUUUUGGGUCGUAAACUCCUUUUCUUAGCGAAGAAAAUAGACGGUAGCUAACGGAAUAAGCAUCGGCUAAUUCCGUGCCAGCAGCCGCCGGUUAAUACGGAAGAUGCGAGCGUUAUUCAGAAUUAUUGGGCGUAAAGCGUCUGUAACGUGGCUUAUAUAAGUCUACUGUUUAAA